AGCGAUGGAGUGACGCAGAAGGAUAGUGACGCAGACUGAUGGAUGUCUGUCCAAGCAGUGAGGCUGGUGUGUAGGCAAAUCCGCACACCGUAAGGCUGGGCUGUGACGGGGAGGGAAAAUUACAGUACCGAAGGUCAUGAUUUCACACUGCCAAGAAAAGCUUCUAGCCAGGCGAAGGUGCCCGUACCGCAAACCGACACAGGUGGGCGAGAAGAGAAUUCUAAGGCGCGCGGAAGAACUCUCGUUAAGGAACUCGGCAAAAUGACCCCGUAACUUCGGGAGAAGGGGUGCCUCGGUAGGGUGAAUAGCCCGAGGGGGCCGCAGUGAAAAGGCCCAAGCGACUGUUUAGCAAAAACACAGGUCUGUGCGAAGCCGCAAGGCGAAGUAUACGGGCUGACGCCUGCCCGGUGCUGGAAGGUUAAGGGGAGCGGUUAGGGGUUAAACCCGAAGCUGUGAACCGAAGCCCCAGUAAACGGCGGCCGUAACUAUAACGGUCCUAAGGUAGCGAAAUUCCUUGUCAGGUAAAUUCUGACCCGCACGAAUGGCGUAACGACUUGGGCGCUGUCUCAACGAGAGAUCCGGUGAAAUUUUAAUACCUGUGAAGAUGCAGGUUACCCGCGACAAGACGGAAAGACCCCAUGGAGCUUUACUGCAGCUUGAUAUUGGACUUUGGUACGAUCUGUACAGGAUAGGUGGGAGCCGUUGAAGCCUGAGCGCCAGCUUGGGUGGAGGCGCCGUUGGGAUACCACCCUGAUCGUAUCGGAGUUCUAACCUGGGACCGUAAACCGGUUCGGGGACAGUGUCAGGUGGGCAGUUUGACUGGGGCGGUCGCCUCCUAAAAAGUAACGGAGGCGUCUAAAGGUUCCCUCAGAAUGGUUGGAAAUCAUUCGCAGAGUGCAAAGGCAUAAGGGAGCUUGACUGCGAGACAAACAGGUCGAGCAGGGACGAAAGUCGGGCUUAGUGAUCCGGUGGUACCGAAUGGAAGGGCCAUCGCUCAACGGAUAAAAGCUACCCUGGGGAUAACAGGCUUAUCUCCCCCAAGAGUCCACAUCGACGGGGAGGUUUGGCACCUCGAUGUCGGCUCAUCGCAUCCUGGGGCUGAAGUAGGUCCCAAGGGUUGGGCUGUUCGCCCAUUAAAGCGGUACGCGAGCUGGGUUCAGAACGUCGUGAGACAGUUCGGUCCCUAUCUGUCGCGGGCGUAGGAAAUUUGAGAGGAGCUGUCCUUAGUACGAGAGGACCGGGAUGGACGUACCGCUGGUGUACCAGUUGUCUCGCCAGAGGCAUCGCUGGGUAGCUAUGUACGGAGGGGAUAAGCGCUGAAAGCAUCUAAGCGUGAAGCCCCCCUCAAGAUGAGAUUUCCCA
rnacentral:rRNA from 1 species